rnacentral:miRNA from 1 species
AGACUGGCUAAUGAUAACAAGGCAUCAUAAAAUCUUCAGAAGGAAAGACUGUUUUGCAGUCCAUUUGGUUUUUUUUGUGUGUGGCAGUUUUUAAGUUAUUGGUUUUUAAAAUUAGU